rnacentral:rRNA from 1 species
UACGAAGGGGGCUAGCGUUGCUCGGAUUUACUGGGCGUAAAGGGCGCGUAGGCGGACAGUUUAGUCAGAGGUGAAAGCCCAGGGCUCAACCUUGGAAUUGCCUUUGAUACUGGCGAUCUCGAGUCCGGGAGAGGUGAGUGGAACUGCGAGUGUAGAGGUGAAAUUCGUAGAUAUUCGGAGGAACACCAGUGGCGAAGGCGGCUCACUGGUCCGGUACUGACGCUGAGGUGCGAAAGCGUGGGGAGCAAACAGG